UCCAUAUGUUCCUGUGCUUGCUAGAUUUGGCAGGAGGAGGGAUGCUACCCUUCAGAGCCCGUGUUUGUGCCAGUGCCUAAUGCCACGGCCGAGGACAGCGGAGUCAUCUUGUCUGUGGUGGUCUCCCCUGCUGAGAACCAAAGUGCUUUCCUGCUCGUCCUGGAUGCAGAGACCUUCCAGGAACUGGGGCGAGCAGAAGUCGGGGUGCCAAUGCCUUACGGGUUCCACGGCAUCUUCACUGCCCACUGAGGAACUCCUGGGCACCUCCUGGGACUCAGGGCUGAGCCAGCCUCACAAAGAACCUCUGCUGCCUUCACCUCCCACCUUUCCAUCACGUCUGGGAUGAAGGAGCUGCUUUUCCUCCACCACAACCUCCUGUAUUCCUAACAAAAUACAGCCAAGGAAGGCAGAAGCCCCUUUGCUCCCACUGCUUGAGCUACAGUUUUUUUACUGUCUUGCUAGACCAGCUAUAUCAGCAGUUCACAAAGGAUGCCCAGGGUGAGGCUUGCAAGGCAGAAAAUGGAAGCUGAGGUGAUCAACCCCUUCCUCUGGUGCUCUGAGGGGAGGAGAAGAGCGAUGCUGGGGGCUGUGGCUUUGGCUGAAGUAUGUGGAGCAGAAGAGAGGAGUAAAACCCAGCAGGUGACAGGUGGGCCCAGGGAAGGGGAGUAAAUCCCCCCUUGCAUCCAGGUUGCCUUCAGUGGAGUCCAGGGGGUAGAUGCAGACACUCACAGAAGCUGUGCUUGUGCUUUUUUCUGUACCAUAGCAGUGCCCUCAAAUAAAACCUUGGGAAGUUUU